GACGAACGCUGGCGGCGUUCUUAACACAUGCAAGUCUAACGGAAAGGCCCUGCUUUUGUGGGGUGCUCGAGUGGCGAACGGGUGAGUAACACGUGAGUAACCUGCCCUUGACUUUGGGAUAACUUCAGGAAACUGGGGCUAAUACCGGAUAGGAGCUCCUGCUGCAUGGUGGGGGUUGGAAAGUUUCGGCGGCUGGGGAUGGACUCGCGGCUUAUCAGCUUGUUGGUGGGGUAGUGGCUUACCAAGGCUUUGACGGGUAGCCGUCCUGAGAGGGUGACCGGCCAAAUUGGGACUAAGAUACGGCCCAGACGCCUACGGGAGGCAGGAGUGGGGAAUAUUGCACAAUGGGCGGAAGCCUGAUGCAGCAACGCCGCGUGAGGGAUGACGGCCUUCGGGUUGUAAACCGCUUUCGCCUGUGACGAAGCGUGAGUGACGGUAAUGGGUAAAGAAGCACCGGCUAACUACGUG
rnacentral:rRNA from 1 species